rnacentral:rRNA from 1 species
GACGAACCGAGCGAACGUUGUUCGGAAUCACUGGGCUUAAAGGGCGCGUAGGCGGGUGCUCAAGUCCGUGGUGAAAUCCUCCGGCUCAACCGGAGAACUGCCUCGGAUACUGGGCGUCUCGAGUGUGGUAGGGGUAUGCGGGACUAUCGGUGGAGCGGUGAAAUGCGUUGAUAUCGAUAGGAACUCCGGUGGCGAAGGCGGCAUACUGGACCACCACUGACGCUGAUGCGCGAAAGCCAGGGGAGCAAACGGG